AUCUCCAUAGCUGCCGUCACUCUGCUCUCAUCCAAUUUCCGCCGCCUCCAAGUUCCGCCACGGCACCUCCAUUUCGUGCGCCGCCUAGCUGCCUGACGCAUCUCCCCUUCCCGCACGGCCUUUCUCUCUCACUGUCGCUCCUCGAUUUCAUGUUGCCACCCACCACUGGCGCCCAGCUCCAGCGCGGCUACCAUGGCAGCUACAGCCGCCUGAUCAUUCGCACCUUCCUUCGACCAUCACCAUCGCCUGCAGACUUCGCCAAGCAAACGCUGCAAAGGCUUUCAUCAAAGGAUUAUAGAAUAUUUCAUCAAGUUGAUUAACAAGAAACAUGGAAAGAACAUCAGCAACCACAAUAGACCACUUGGAAAACUGAGGGAAGCUGAACGUGCCAAAAGAGAUUUAAGCAGCCAGCAGCAAGUUAGGACUCAUGCUUGAUUUGACGAGUUGAACAAUGACCUCUUUAGCAAAAACAUGGGACUUGUCAAGAAGGCUAUGGGGGAUGCUGGUUUGGAGAACCACCAGAUGCAUGAAAUUGUUCCUGUUAGUGGGGCUACCAGGAUCCCAAAAGUCCAAUAACUUCUCAAGGACUACUUUGAUGGAAAGGAACCCAACAAGAGUGUAAAACCAGAUGAAGCAGUGGCUUAUGGGGGUGGUGUUCAAGGAGGUAUUCUAAGCCGGAAAGGUGGUGAUGAAAGCAAAGAUAAAUGCUAUUCAUACUAGCUUUUGGAAGAUAUCUAUGG